UGCUUUUUUUCCUGACAGGCACAGAAACCC
rnacentral:piRNA from 1 species